rnacentral:sRNA from 2 species
UAGUCCUGUCCGCCGGUGCUGGUCAAUAGCACCGCUGGGGCAGGAGCGGGGGAACCACGUGGGACCCGGUCGACCGGACCCGUCCUUGGGGUGAAGCCACGCGUGUGGCCGGGCAUCUUCCCGCCCGAACCCGACAGCUCACCUCGCAGGCGUGGAGGAAGCCCAU